UCUACUACACAAGAAGCCAAGAAAAAAAGAUGGUCAAAAAAGUGUGAAGGAGAAUUUGUGGAUUUUCACUCUGAAAUACUUCCUGUGACCUGUGGAGAGAUGAAAGGCAUGUUACAUAAGAACAAGUUGAAAGAAGGAUCCAAGGUGAAGUGUAUAGAGACAGAAGAUGGAAAUUGGUUCACCCCCAGUGAAUUUUCAGUCGCAGGAGGCUAUCAGAAAUCAAGUCAUUGGAAGAGCACUGUGCGCUGUGGCGGGAAAACCAUAAAACAGCUGACAGAGGUAUUUCUGUGAUGGCCAGGAGGUGUGACUUCCCUUGUUGUGGUCAAAGAUAAGGUCACUGAUUAAUCACUCAAUAUCUGUUGAGUUAUCUCUAGAGCCCUUAGGCCCUUCACUUUAUGCUUUCCUAGGGGAGAGUUGCCU